UCACUUUGGCAGCAGAGAUACUAAAAUUGGAAUGAUACAGAGAGGAUUAGCAUGGCCUCUACAGGAAGGUGACGUGCAAAUCUGGGAAGCUUCUGUAUUUUAA
ensembl:snRNA U6 U6 spliceosomal RNA